GGGCCGCGGUCGGGCCAGCCUGCGCAUCUCCCUUCCCGCCACCAGGUGGCGGACACGACGCACUGCAAGAGCGGCCGUUCCUCCCCUGGGCUCUGCGGCCCUGGCAGCCCAACGGCUAACUAACUAACUAACCAACCUAUCGCCUCCAAAGGAAGCCAAACUCGGCCUCUAGGGACACCGGCGAGGAAAGCCAAAGCUCAGCCUGACCCCAGAUCUCACCAGAAAGCACGAGGGAGAAAGAGGGAAUAAUGUAGCCGGGGGAGAAGAAGAGAUCCAAAUCCAAGUGGGCUAUCCCCAAGCGUCGCUCGCGACCUCUGCCCACCCAGAGAAUUCCACACGAGGGGCAGAUGGAGGGGGAAAGAAGAAACCGGCAGCUCCAACCGGGAAGAAAGGCCCCGCAAGCUUGAAGCGUGUGAAAAUAACGUAGACAUUGAGGGGAUGAUGAGGAUGGCGUUUUCUUAACCUUUUGUGGAAGACAGGAGAAGGUGCUGGUCACCAAGUCUUCUGAAGACUCUGCAAUAACUGCUGGUGCAGUUGAGUCCAGGAAAUGCCCCAGUACCAGAGGGGGGUUUGGACGAUAGGCAGACCUCUCCUAGCUGACCACCAGAGGAUUAUCCCUCCACUCUUUCCCUCCUUCCCUCCCUUGACCGCGAAGCCCUCUGGCCAUCACUUCGGUAGCAGCCAGAAGAGCAGUGAUGAGCCUCACUCUGGCAUCUUAAAGGCUCCAAGAAGAAUCAUGUUCUCUGGUUUCCCAGAACCACAAAAAGGACACUAUUUCCUAAAGCUGAACAUCAAAUAACACUCUGUCACUUUGAAUUUGUUCCCACAGAAGAGGACUUCAGACUGAACAGAGAGAUGCAAUCUUAUUAUUUUUAGGGAGUGAGAAAGAAAGUCUUAAUAAACACAAGCACGCACAUACACACA